CCCCCCACACACACACCUUGCUAGAAGCGAAAAUCCUUCUCUGUAGUUCUAGCUGUUCUCUCUUUAAAUCUCAGGUCAAAUUCGUAUGUGUUCAGGAUGGUUUGAAAGUAAUCUAGAGGGAGUUGUAGCCAUUGGGCAACCUGAUUGGUGGAACUGUAAGGGGCAGAGUGAGCCAUAGCCCCAUGGCAUUUGAAAUUCCAAGGUGUCGCCCUGAGGAUAUGAAAUGCUUCACACAGACCACUGCAUUUCAGAGGCCAAAGGACAUCUGAAAGAAUUAAAAGUAUGUCACUCUUCCUUUUUUGCAGAG